rnacentral:rRNA from 1 species
UACGGAGGGUGCAAGCAUUAAUCGGAAUUAUUGGGCGUAAAGGGCGUGUAGGCGGAUUCGUAAGUCAGAUGUGAAAUACCGAGGCUUAACUUCGGUGCUGCAUUUGAAACUACGAACCUUGAGGGUAGACGGAGAAAGCGGAAUUCCACGUGUAGCGGUGAAAUGCGUGGAUAUGUGGAAGAACACCUGUGGCGAAAGCGGCUUUCUAGUUUAUUCCUGACGCUGAGACGCGAGAGCAAGGGGAGCAAACAGG